CACAGUCUCAUAACCGAAAGUCUGGAAGCCCAGGCCGCUCUCCGCCUUCUGCCUACCUCAUUGCCUUCUGUCACCAGAUUCCCCUCCGAACCCCUCUCCGACUCCAUUGAUUCCCGUCCGAUUCCCCUCGAUUCGGCUGCAUCUACCUUCUUGCAGUCCGUCGAGGGGGUCGGAUCUCUUCGGCCAGUGCUGAUCUCGACCUCCUCGAGUCCAUGGCCUUCGGCACUGUCUCGUUCGAAGAGCUCCUCGGCCACUGCAACGAGGUAUUCAAGAACAACCAGAGAUGCAUCGUCGACCUUGAGAAGCGGAUGCAGAGCUUAGGUUACGUCACUAGUGAGCACCGAGCCACUGACGCGAAUUCCUAGAGUCAUCGUUUGCUUUUCUGCUACUCUGAUUUGUGUUGUUGCGCAGAGGUGGAGUUGGAAGAUGAGGAGAUUUUGGACGAUUCGAAGUUUACGAGCCCCGUGAGUGGGUUUCAGAGACCUUUCUUUGAAUUUGUCUCAGUUAGUUUCUGUUGUUCAGUUGAGCAAGAGGAGGCCAGAAGAGUAUAUCUUUUUAUUCAGAUUGACAUGCAAUUUAGAAAUAGAAAACCGAUUCAAAUCGGUUGAAUCACGAGUAGAAGGUUAGGGGAUUCCUUCUGUAAGCUUGCAAGUUCUUGCUCUCACAUUUAACUUGAUCCUGUAAUAAACUAUCUGAGACAACUUUGCCUGGAUAUCCAAAACUUGCCCUGCAUGCUACAGAUUCAUACACAAUGAUGAAAUGUCAGUUGCCAGAAAUGCUGCCAAAGCAAUAGUGCAUGCAUCUAAAGAGGACUACAAUGACCUGCCGGAGUUGCAGGAAGCUGCGGUGAAGAUCAACUCUUUCCUCCCUAUACAUGAGCAAAAUGAUGUCUUUAGGCAAGAUGAGCUUGAAAAAAUGGUGCUCGGUCUACCCAAGUUUAGAAAUGUGGAAGAGAUGAGGUUGUUUCACCAAUGAAGAGCAAUGGCGAUGAGCAGCGCCGCCUCUGUCUUUUCAAAGUCCCCCAGGUUGAUCGUUUCACACUGGUUGGUGUGAUUCGGGUGUGCCUGGAGAAUGCAUGAGUUCUCCUCCCUCUCUCGCUACGCAGUACAUGAGCCCGUGGAUGUCUCCUUCCUCGCUGAGAUAGCUCACAUCUCCCUUGCUUCAGGAGGGGUGCCAAUCUUCCUACAUGAUGUUUUUGAACCCUCUUACUCGAUACCAAUGAGAGAGUGGCAAAGUGGAAGUGGAAGCGCGGAAUUAGAAAAUUAGGAAAUUGAUAAGUUUGCACCUUACAAGCUACCUCAAGUAAGAUUUGAGUGAAUGCCCCCUAUCUUGCAAGAGGUUCAAUUCUUAUAACAAACGUCGGGUGCGCCUUGGGCCCCAUCGUCACGUUUGUUGAUAAGAAAUCAACAGUACAGACUCCAUUUUACAACUAGUAGAGCAUCUACUUUAGAAAAGUAGUGCAAAUUCAACUUUA